UACAGAGGGUGCAAGCAUUAAUCGGAUUUAUUGGGCGUAAAGGGCGCGUAGGCGGAGAUACAAGUCAGAUGUGAAAUCCCGGGGCUCAACCUCGGAACUGCAUUUGAAACUGUAUCCCUAGAGGGUAGGCGGAGAAAACGGAAUUCCACAAGUAGCGGUGAAAUGCGUAGAUAUGUGGAAGAACACCGGUGGCGAAGGCGGUUUUCUAGCUUAUUCCUGACGCUGAUGCGCGAAAGCAAGGGGAUCAAACAGG
rnacentral:rRNA from 1 species